UAUUAACGCUGGCGGCGUGCCUAAUACAUGCAAGUCGAGCGAACGGACGAGAAGCUUGCUUCUCUGAUGUUAGCGGCGGACGGGUGAGUAACACGUGGAUAACCUACCUAUAAGACUGGGAUAACUUCGGGAAACCGGAGCUAAUACCGGAUAAUAUUUUGAACCGCAUGGUUCAAAAGUGAAAGACGGUCUUGCUGUCACUUAUAGAUGGAUCCGCGCUGCAUUAGCUAGUUGGUAAGGUAACGGCUUACCAAGGCAACGAUGCAUAGCCGACCUGAGAGGGUGAUCGGCCACACUGGAACUGAGACACGGUCCAGACUCCUACGGGAGGCAGCAGUAGGGAAUCUUCCGCAAUGGGCGAAAGCCUGACGGAGCAACGCCGCGUGAGUGAUGAAGGUCUUCGGAUCGUAAAACUCUGUUAUUAGGGAAGAACAUAUGUGUAAGUAACUGUGCACAUCUUGACGGUACCUAAUCAGAAAGCCAAGGCUAACUACGUG
rnacentral:rRNA from 1 species